rnacentral:lncRNA from 1 species
AUUCAACAAGGAAAUGUAGGAAGAUUUUAAAAGUAUUAGUUGUUGCGGUCUCAGACAUCUUGGUUAGGGUUCGAAGGAUUAUCGUUCAAAGACAUCUGCAAAAAAAGCGGAAGUCAGCAAAAAAAGCCAAAAAAAUGUUAAGUGUGAAGCCGGUGACAAAGAAAAUUCCCGGAAAAAAUAUCGUCGGCAAGUCUUAAGGAGAUCCUCACCCUCGUCAAAUGUCGUCAAAAAAUGUCAUGGACAAAUGUCUAGGUAGGAACUCGUUGGGUAACCAUCUGACUACAGAGUCAGAUGGAUUCAAUGACAUAUGGAGGCUGACUCCAAAGUCAAGCACUGACCAAGAAGUCAUUGGUAGGAAGCUCAUGGGAGCUUGAAGUCGAAGGCUCUGAAACUCACGAUCUCUGGAAACUCGCAGGCGCUCUGGAGCAAGGCUAGUGAUUGAACUUAUACAAAGACUAAGGAAAACUAAUAUGGAUGUGAAGUCUUCUAGGAAGAUUGGAUGUCAGAGAUCGAGUACGUCGAGGUCGUCUCCUUGGACCUUUGCAGGUAGAUCCAACCUAAGAGUUUUACUAGAAAAUUUUAUAAAACUACCUUGAACCUUUGCAGGUAGAUCAAUCUUAAGAGUUUUAUCAAAAAAUUAUAUAAAACCAUCUUAGACCUUUACAGGUAGAUCCAAUCUAAGAGUUUUAUCAAGAAACUCUAUAAAACCACCUUGGACCUUUGCAGGUAAAUCCAAGAGUUUUAUCAAGAAACUCUAUAAAACCACCUUAGACCUUUGCAGGUAAAUCCAACCUAAGAGUUUUACCAAAAAAAUUUAUAAAACCAUCUCGAACCUUUGCAGGUAGAUUCAACAUAAAAGUUUUAUCAGAAAAUUUUAUAAAAUCACUUUGGACCUUUACAAAUAGAACCAACAUAAGAGUUUUAUUAGGAAAAUCUAUAAAACCAAACUAAGUUUUUUAGUUGAUCUUAUAAAUCUUACAAGUGUUGCUUUUGAAACAAAACUUUUUGACCCUGAGUAAGGUGUGUUUUCCAUUAAAUUCAUACAACAACCAACCACUCUUGCCAUUUCUUCUCUGAUUAAUCGCGGUAUGACCCUCCUGACACAUGACUGUACAUCAGUCACUCCCGUCAAUAUAGACUAGGGUUCCGCUCGCUUUACGUCGGACCCCCAGAAGGCUCCCACGAAAGCGAAACUAAAGUCUUCAUCGAGAUCCGAGUCAACUCUCCAAAUCGCCGAUUGAGACGACAAAUCGUCGAGUUGAGGACAAGAUCGUCAGAGUCUGGCAGACUGCCGAUCUUUUCUUUUAAACUCGUCGAUUUCACCCCCAGAUCGCCGAUUUGGACCGUUACUCGUGUCCAGCUCGAACCAUAAUGACUGUAACGACCGCCAUUAUGGCCGGACACGAUCUUCGCCGUGGAUUACGUACCUAGAAGUCCUAUAAAAGGAGACACAAUGCUCACUCCAAAGGCAUCAGUUCCAUCCUUUCUAGAACGUGAAUCACGAAGCAAUCGUCGAUUCCCUCUCGAAAGACUUAACGUAUAUCGCGCGUCGUGGACCUCAGAGCCUCUAACACGAUAAGGUAGCCGCUCGCAUAAGUACGAACGUUGGUAGGACUUUCUGUGCUUCGUCAGACCCAAUACACGAGGAGGAGGACGCACCGACAUAGGGAACGGUUGGAAAUGACGGAGCGAUUUGAGGACGGAGACAGACGACUAUUUGAAAACGGAAACUAGAUAAGGUGUUAUGGACUAGAAUGUAAUGAUAUGUUUUGUAUUUAGUUAUUUGAGCAUGUUGGUGAAUGUGAAUGGUGAUGAAGCGAUUUGACAUUUGGAUAAUUGGAUUUGGUUAGAAAUAAUAAAUAUUUUAAAAAUCGAUGGUCAGAUAACGUCGG